rnacentral:rRNA from 1 species
ACAUGCAGUCGAACGGGUGGUAGCAAUACCACUAGUGGCGCACGGGUGCGUAACGCGUAACCAACCUGCCCUUGACUGGGGGAUAGCCCGCCGAAAGGCGGAUUAAUACCGCAUAAACUCACAGUGUGGCAUCACACAAUGAGUAAAGAUUUAUUGGUCAAGGAUGGGGUUGCGUGACAUUAGCUAGUUGGCGGGGUAACGGCCCACCAAGGCGACGAUGUCUAGGGGAGCUGAGAGGCUGAUCCCCCACACUGGCACUGAGAUACGGGCCAGACUCCUACGGGAGGCAGCAGUAGGGAAUAUUGGGCAAUGGGCGAGAGCCUGACCCAGCCAUGCCGCGUGCCGGAUGAAGGCCUUCUGGGUUGUAAACGGCUUUUCUCAGGGAAGAAAAAGACCAUGCGUGGUACACUGACGGUACCUGAGGAAUAAGCACCGGCUAACUCCGUGCCAGCAGCCGCGGUAAUACGGAGGGUGCAAGCGUUGUCCGGAUUUAUUGGGUUUAAAGGGUGCGUAGGUGGUUUGAUAAGUCCGGGGUGAAAGCCCACAGCUCAACUGUGGAACUGCCCUGGAUACUGUCAGACUUGAGGGUAGACGAGGUUGGCGGAAUAGAAGGUGUAGCGGUGAAAUGCAUAGAUACCUUCUAGAACCCCGAUUGCGUAGGCAGCUGACUAGGCUACACCUGACACUGAGGCACGAAAGCGUGGGGAGCGAACAGGAUUAGAUACCCUGGUAGUCCACGCCGU